ensembl:lncRNA
AUCACUGAAUCCUUGGCUCUUACCGAGUCGAAUGAAUACCUAAAUUAAAAAAUCGCAAGGUUUAGUUUUUUAUUGUUCGAAAAACCUACAUUUUCGAACUCAUCCUAGACGGUUCAUCUGAUUUUCACCAAAAUUGUUCAGAUCAUCUUCAGACCAUGCUGGCAAAAAGUUAUGGAAUUCAAGUAGAUUUGUCCCACCCUUCUCCAAUAAUGCACAAAGAAAUUCUAUGAAAAGCACCUAAAAUGGAUGUGAGGCUAUAUCUCCACAAUGGUUUGGCUUAUUGAGACCAAACUUGCUGUGUGUUAUAAUAAAUAGGACCUGAGACUACCUGCAGUGUUUCAGCACAGUGCCCCCUAUUAACUAUUAAUAAUUACAUUUCCAAAGAUGCUAAUAACUUUUGAUUGCAUUGACCUAUUGUAAUGAAACUGGUCUCAAAAUAUCCGUUGGUUUAUGCUGACAACAUAGGUACCAAAUAUACCAGAGUAAGCCGAACUUCCUGUCGGCCAUUUUGAUUUAUGUUGAAAACCUACUUUUUUCAACUCCUUGUCAACUUUUCCAAUUUUCACAAAAAUAGAGACAGAUGAUCUUCAGACUGUGCUGCCAAAAAGUUAUGGAUUUGUAUGCCGCUGCAAAUUUUAGGCAGUGCCAAACUGCAUCUCAGUCUGUGUCUCUGCAAAUAUUUGACAUUUUUACACCAAACUUUGUAUGUGCCAUUGUCACCUCACACUAAGCAUGCCACAUUAACUUGAUUAUAGCGCCACCUAUUGGUCAAAAGUGAAAAGCCAAUAAAUCAUAUUACUAGUGGUUGUAUUAAUGAUUUUUCAGCCGUUUUGCCUAAAAUAAACUUAAAAUGGUUUUAAUUACUCAUUCCUGUCAUUGGUCUGAAGCUUGCUUGUUUAGUGCUUGGGCCUGUAAUUGCUGCUUGCAGCUAAGGUGGCGCUGUUCCCAAAUUUGGCAUGUUCCCUCAGAUGAUGUUGGUGUUGAAGCAUGCCGAGUUUUAUUUCAAUUAAUCAAAGCUUGGCCGAGAUGUAGCCUCUGAAACAAUUUUGGGUCAACCUCGUUAAGUUUGCGACAUCAUAAUUUUUGAACAAAGAUUAAUUUCUCUGCAGCUUAGUCCAAAGAUCAUCUUAACAAGAACUGGAUCAAUUUUGAAGGAGGAUGUCACAGUUGGGGUGUAUAAUAAGCGCACAAAGAAGAAGAUGAAGUCAAAUAGUAUUUAAUAAUCCACAUAUAGGGUAUCCACAGAAGGCAGGCAGGUAACACACGCACAACACAACAUUAAAAUUCUCAAUACUGGGCAAGGGACAACUGAACAGGCUAGAACUAAAGUAGGGGUGCUAAUGAUAACAGACAUGUGAGGAGGAUUAACUAUUGAGAACACAGGUGAACUGACUAACAUAAUCAAACACAGGGAAAAACUGGGUCACAGAACAUGUUAGGAAUGAAAACACAACAAAAGUCCAUGAAAACUAAAAUGAACGGAACAUAAGUGUGACAGGAGAAGCGAAAAAAAAAAAAAAUACUGUACUUUUCAAAAUGGCCGCUACUGUAAUGCAUCUUAAUAGCCGCUUUUCCACUGUCGGGCCAGUGUGAGCCAGUGUUUUCAAUGGGCCGGACAGGACUAAUAGCCUCAGAUCUGUAGCACUGAGCCCAAAAUCACGAUGCAUUUCCACUGUCUGGCUAGAAGCUCCACAGCGCUUCACUAAAACCCGCCCUUUUACAUGCCUCUUUGGAACAACGUCACGCAACUCCAUCAUUUCACCAAGAAAUUGAAGUUAUUAGAAAACUAAUCAGAAAUAAGUAACUUACUGGAACUAGCAUGAUCACAAAAUGAAGCUGAUAAAGGCGGCCGUUUGUUUGCAUGCUUUGUUAAAGAUUUAAAUCCAAAGGCAUCUAUGUUUUACAGUAAUAAGUGAUACAAUGAUCAUAAUGAAUUAAUUUAUCAGGACUGAAAAUUAGUCACACAGUAAUAAAGCAAUAUGAACCGUUAUUUCACAAAAGAAAGAGGACAUAUAGUCUACUUAUUCAAUCGCGUCUGUUUCUGUUUAUUUGUGGUCACAGUAUAUAUCACAUUUAGAAAGAAUGACCAAUUCUAUAUUUUUUUUCCAUCAGAAAUAUGACCUGAGUAGCACAGGGAGCUCCUGAACAACAAACAUUAUUAUGAUAAUUUUUAUGACAUACGCGGAGCUAAAGUCUCGAGACGAGAAUUAUGAUAGACAAAAUAUGUUACUAAGUAAAUACACAAUAGCCUGAAUUAGAUGCUGACUUUUGAUUUCUUCAAGCGGU